rnacentral:rRNA from 1 species
GGUCAAGCUACAAAGGGCGUAUGGUGAAUGCCUUGGCAUCAGGAGCCGACGAAGGACGCGAUAAGCUGCGAUAAGCUUUGGGUAGGCGCACAUAGCCAGUGAUCCAAAGAUUUCCGAAUGAGGAAACUCACAUGGGAAACCCCAUGUAUCAUAUAGUGAAUAAAUAGCUAUAUGAAGGUAGACCCAGGGAACUGAAACAUCUAAGUACCUGGAGGAAGAGAAAGAAACAUCGAUUUUCUUAGUAGCGGCGAGCGAAAAGGAAAGAGCCCAAACCAAGGAUUUAUUCUUGGGGUUGCGGACAGAACAUGAAAAAGGUGAAAUCGUAACUGAAGAUAACUGGAAAGUUAAACCGUAGAGGGUAAUAGUCCCGUAAGUGAAACGAGGAAGCUAAUAGUUCUGAUCCAGAGUACCACGAGACACGUGAAACCUUGUGGGAAGCAGGGAGGACCACCUCCCAAGGCUAAAUACUACCUGAUGACCGAUAGUGAAGAAGUACCGUGAGG